rnacentral:rRNA from 1 species
GACGAACGCUGGCGGCGUGCUUAACACAUGCAAGUCGAACGGUGAAGCGCCUUCCUUUUUGGUGGGUGUGGAUGAGUGGCGAACGGGUGAGUAACACGUGAGUAACCUGCCCCCUUCUUCUGGAUAACCGCAUGAAAGUGUGGCUAAUACGGGAUAUUCUGGGUCUGUCGCAUGAUGGGUCUGGGAAAGAUAUUGUUUCGGUGGGGGAUGGGCUCGCGGCCUAUCAGCUUGUUGGUGGGGUGAUGGCCUACCAAGGCGGUGACGGGUAGCCGGCCUGAGAGGGUGGACGGGCACACUGGGACUGAGACACGGCCCAGACUCCUACGGGAGGCAGCAGUGGGGAAUAUUGCACGAUGGGCGCAAGCCUGAUGCAGCGACGCCGCGUGAGGGAUGGAGGCCUUCGGGUUGUGAACCUCUUUCGCCAGUGAAGCAGGCCUGCCUCGUUUGUGGGUGGGUUGACGGUAGCUGGAUAAGAAGCGCCGGCUAACUACGUG